AGCCGACAUCCCCUAUCACCCCUCUGCUUUCUUUGUCCGAUCAUCGGCGACCGGUGCCGGUUACCGGCCGGCCACAGGGGUCCCGUGCUUGCUAGCAUGUCACCCCACACAACCCCAAGCUCCCUCUUCAUCUUAACCCGUCGCACACACCGCUACCCUGUCCAAAGCGAGAGAGAGAGAGAGAGAGAGAGAGAGAUCGGAGAACAGGAGAGGGGCCGAUCACCUAUUUCACGGCAAUAGAAGCAGCAAGUGGCGGCGGCAAUGGAUUCCGACAACCGUUUUUCGGGUAAAACGUACCGGAGGAGCCGGCGACCAACUUACCGGCGAUGAUGAUGGCGGUGGUCGUCAGACAUGGCUACAGCACACGGAGGGGGGGGGGGGUGGCGACGACUUUAAUUCCCUCCGACAGGUUCACCGGUAAAACCCUCUCCCCGUUUCUGUUAUUUUUUUUAAGAUUGAUGUUUGGCUGUUGAUGACUGGUGACGAUGAUGGUGGCAGUGAAGACACCCGACGGCGGUGGUGGCCGCCGCCAGAGCUUCCUUCAAGUUCAAAUUUGGUUCUAGUGCUUAGAUUCAGAUUUCAAAUUUUAUUUGGUACGGCUUCGGGUGUUACGGAUCAGAUUCAGGAACGGUCAACAGUUAACCCGGUCAAAAUCAGCAGUUUCGGGUGUCGUUUCAGCGGGUUGUUCGGGCUUCGUUUCGGGUCAAGUAGCUUCGUUACAGUUUUCGCUCGGGUCGUGAUACGGUCCAGUUUUGAGUCUCGGUCUACAGUACGGGUCAUAUUUCAGUUCGGGUGCUGGUUUGGUCAACUUCAGUCAACUCCGGAUCAAAGUCAGAUGCUGGUUUGGUUCGAGUUCCGGUCAACUCAGCCUUGGUUCGGGUCAACAACAGUCAAAGAAAGACCCGGGCAAAACAAUGGUUUUUUUUAACCUCUAUUAGAGUCCCUAACAAAUGGACAUCACAAAGCAGUAAGAAGGAACACGCAUGACAGAUAUUGUGCUAAAAGGCCUUAAACAGCUGGGCCUGGUCCUUUGAUACGACAUGUGGGUUUUCAAUGGGGAGCUUAAAAAGACAACUACAAGUGUCUUUAAACACAAUCUUUAAUGAGGUGUAUAGUUAGAACAACCGGGUGUCGGAGAAGCUUGCUAUUCUUGAUUGGAGGGCAAAAUUGGAGCACUACCCACUCUUGAUGCGGUUGCUAACACUAAUGUGAGGUUGCUAACACUAAUGAUGAGCAAAUAAGAAUGCUUUGUAGUCGGAGAACAUGGCCAUUUUUUUAGUGGUGGCUACAACAUUAAGACGGGUCCCAGUUCUAUAGGGCUGACGAAGUUUGACAUGGCUUGUUCCGCAGCGGUGUUAGGCGCUGCAAAAUCCGUUGAUCAAUUUAAACCCCCUGGAGUAAAGCUUUGGUACGGAAGGAGAUUCAAGAUGAAACAGACAGAAUCACGGGGAAGUCUAAACAAAUAUCUCCAAUUCCAAUCCAGCUCAGCAUCUAUUCCCCCAACGAUAUGUUUGUAGUGACUGCAAUAUUUAGAGAAAUAGCUGCUCUUGUUCUUUAUUUCUCACACAAUGCUGACAUCAUAUCAUGAUUUUCUUAUUCUUCCAGUUGUCUCUUUAACUUUAAUCGACUUACCAGGAUUGACCAAAGUUGCAGUUGAGGGACAACCUGAAUCUAUAGUUGAAGACAUUGAAAAGAUGGUUCGAACUUACGUUGAGAAGUUUCAUUAUCAUCACAUCAUCAAAUAGCGAGCUCUCCCAACUCUCAAGAACAUCAUCAUCAUCUUCAACAGAUCUCUUCAUCAUCUUCAUCGAUCAUCAUCAUCAUCUUCAUCGAACAUCUUCAUCAUCGAACA